GCAUCAGGCAGCCACGGAAGAUAGUGAAGAUGAGAUCGAGGACGACAUUCCUUGGCCUGCUCCCACAGAAAAAAUCUCGAUCGUGAAAGGUUUUCCUCUGGUGUCGCCUUACAUCGGCGUUAGCCCCACAUUGUGCUACCUACUGAAAGAGAAGAAACCACUUUGCUGCUUACAACUCACUCAGAUGUGCGAGCAUUCGAGCCACCGGAGCGCCAAGGAAUACAAUUGGCC